GGGGGAGGGCUGCCCCCCAGGAUGAUGAAGAUGAUAAUAAUAAUAUUAGUCCUUGCAGGGACUGGAUCUUGCAGCAGAGCAGCCUCCAUAGCCUGGCUGUGUCAGCAGCCUCACACACACUCACACACUUCCAGGCACACACACUGUGACGUCUUUUGUGCAUUUCCUGCAUUACAAGGAGAGGGGAGGAGAGGAGAAGGGGGGGGGGGGUGUUACUAAUCAUCAGCAGCACCAACAGCUACAGCAGUACCAGCCUUCACCAGGGAAUCUGCCCACAGGUCCCUGCCCAGGCUCAUGUAUAUUGCAUGGGAGCAGCUGGCAGCGUCCCCGGGGAUGUGAUCAGGACCCCCAGUCCCGGUGCGGAUGUGAGCUUCCCCCUUGGCCGUGCGUGUUGUGCGCGGACUCAGUUGAGGACUGCGGCUGCUCCUUUCGCUCUAUAGGAGGCUUCUGGCUGCAGCCACCACAUCUUGCAUGGAGGAUCCCAGACGGUAGGUAGAGGACAGCAACCCAGGCCGGAGCAGGGAUUACAUGAGGAUCUCCAGAGCCUGAAGAAGAGGACGCCUCUCCACCACCACCCCCUCCCCUCCUCUCCUUCCUUGUUUUCCCGUUAGAAAUCCCUGGAUCUGAGUGGGAGUGAGCAACAAGAUCACAUUGGAUCUCCAUUGAUUUGCACUAGAGAGAGAGAGAGAGAGAGAGGUCCUCCUUAACCCCUCGCUCGCCAUGGUGGUCUUCAAUGGCAUGCUAAAGAUCAGGAUCUGCGAGGCUGUGAACCUGAAGCCCACAGCUUGGUCCCUGAGACAUGCGGUGGGUCCCAGACCCCAGACCUUCCUGCUGGACCCUUACAUUGCAGUCAAUGUGGAUGACUCCAGGAUAGGGCAGACCUGCACCAAGCAGAAGACCAACAGCCCAGCCUGGCAUGAUGACUUCUCCACUGAUGUCUGCAAUGGCAGGAAGAUAGAGCUGGCGGUGUUUCAUGAUGCCCCCAUUGGGUAUGAUGAUUUUGUGGCCAAUUGCACCAUCCAGUUCGAGGAUCUGCUGCAGAAUGGGAGCCGGCACUUUGAGGAUUGGAUUGACUUGGAACCAGAAGGAAAAGUUUUCGUGGUGAUUGAGCUCUCUGGCUCCUCGGGUGAAGCUCCCAAAGAAAAUGAAGAGCGAGUAUUCAGAGAGCGGGUGGGGCCCCGGAAGAGGCAGGGAGCCGUGCGGCGUAGGGUUCAUCAAGUAAACGGGCACAAGUUCAUGGCAACCUACCUUAGACAACCUACGUAUUGUUCACACUGCAGAGAUUUUAUAUGGGGUGUUAUAGGGAAACAGGGUUACCAAUGUCAAGUUUGCACUUGCGUAGUUCACAAGAGAUGCCACGAGCUUAUAAUAACGAAAUGCGCCGGCAUGAAGAAACAGGAAACUCCCGACGAGGUCGGCUCGCAACGAUUUAGUGUCAAUAUGCCGCACAAGUUUAGCAUCCACAACUACAAAGUACCCACGUUUUGUGAUCACUGUGGUUCCUUAUUAUGGGGUCUUAUGAGGCAAGGUUUACAAUGCAAAGUUUGUAAAAUGAACGUUCAUCGACGCUGUGAAUCUAAUGUAGCACCAAACUGUGGAGUGGAUUCUCGGGGGAUAGCUAAAGUAUUGGCCGACCUGGGAGUUACACCGGACAAAAUCACAGCCGCGGGCGUAAGGAGGAAAAAGUUAAAUGCAGGUAGCGAGAUGCAGCCUCCGGUCCCCGGCGCUCCGACAGUGGAAGAUGACAGGUCAAAAUCGGCGCCAACGUCUCCAUGUGAUCAGGAAAUUAAGGAACUUGAAAAUAACAUCAGGAAAGCACUUUCAUUUGACAACCGAGGAGAAGAGCACAAAGCUGCAGCGACUGCAUCAAUGGACAGUAAGCUGACAAUACCCGGGGAAAACGGGGAGAACGGCGAGCUGAAAACUCACCAGACAAAGAGGACAGGUCUGGAGGAUUUCAACUUCAUCAAAGUAUUAGGAAAAGGCAGUUUUGGCAAGGUUAUGCUUGCCGAGCUGAAAGGUAAAGAUGAAGUAUAUGCUGUGAAGGUCCUGAAGAAGGACGUCAUAUUACAGGAUGAUGAUGUAGAUUGCACUAUGACAGAGAAGAGGAUUUUGGCUCUGGCGAGAAAACAUCCGUAUCUGACACAAUUGUACUGCUGCUUUCAGACUAAGGAUCGUCUCUUUUUUGUCAUGGAGUAUGUAAAUGGUGGAGACUUGAUGUUUCAGAUCCAGCGUUCACGGAAAUUUGACGAACCACGGUCACGAUUUUAUGCUGCGGAAGUAACCUCAGCCCUCAUGUUCCUUCAUCAGCAUGGGGUCAUAUACAGGGAUCUUAAACUGGACAAUAUACUUUUGGAUGCAGAAGGACACUGUAAACUUGCUGACUUUGGGAUGUGUAAAGAGGGAAUCCUGAAUGGCGUAACUACGACAACUUUCUGUGGUACGCCAGACUACAUCGCUCCUGAGAUAUUACAGGAAUUAGAAUAUGGGCCCUCGGUGGACUGGUGGGCACUGGGUGUCCUGAUGUACGAGAUGAUGGCGGGUCAGCCACCUUUUGAGGCCGACAAUGAAGAUGACCUCUUUGAAUCCAUCCUUCACGAUGACGUCCUGUACCCCGUGUGGCUCAGUAAGGAAGCUGUCAGCAUUCUGAAAGCAUUUAUGACCAAGAAUCCAAACAAAAGGCUUGGGUGUGUGCCAUCCCAGGGGCUAGAAGAAGCCAUCAAACAACAUCCGUUCUUCAAAGAAAUCGACUGGGUACUUCUAGAGCAGAGGAAAAUCAAACCACCAUUUAAACCACGAAUUAAAACCAAACGUGAUGUAAACAACUUCGACCAGGAUUUCACGCGAGAAGAACCUGUUCUGACACUGGUGGACGAAGCCAUAGUGAAACAAAUCAAUCAGGGCGAAUUCGAAGGAUUCUCCUAUUUCGGAGGGGAGGAACCCCUGGCCUGAAGUGACGGCGCACGGCGGAAUGACACCCCUCAUGCAGUAGUCCUAUGGAGACAUAAAACGUGAACUGAGAUUCAGUGGAUCCUUACAAACUUGUUUUAUUAUGAGCCUGCUACUUGUGUAAAGAUACUAUUUAUUGUUGCUAUUGAUUUUUUAUUUUUUUUUGGUUUUUAACUGAAGGCACUCCUAUUUUCUGUUAUAUGUAACAUUGCAAUUUGUACCUGUAGCUGUAACAUUCUGCCUGGUUGGCAACCGCAAAAUACUAGACAAUCUUAGAAAAACAUUUUAUUUAUUUAUUUUUUAGUUUUUUUUUUUUAUAUUUUAUUUCAUUUUUAAAUUACAGAAAGUGUACAAUAGGAAAGCAAUGCAGGAGAUGGGGGAUUCAUUUUAAGCGACAGAUAACGUGAAUCCUCUGCUGCUUCUCGGAAGAAAAACGUAAAAAAAAAAAAAACAUGAAAAAUACUUGUGAGUGACAAAGUGGCACUAAGGAAGCUUUAUUUGCCUUUUGUACAGGUGAGAUUUUGUAAAUAGUGUAUUGCGGCAAAAAGCCUGUGGAGUCUUAUUCAUUAUAAAAAGGUAUCAACUGCUGCAUGUACCGGAGAAAAAACAAAAAAUUAUAAAAUGCUAGUUCAUAAAGAAUUUAUUAUAAUAAGGUCAAUGUGCAAUACUCUGUAUGUGUAUUGGUUCAAGUUUCUGUGAGAGAUUAUUAUUUUUUUUAUAAUAAUUAUUAAUAUUAUUAUUAUUAUUAUUGGUUUUCGUUUCGAGAGAUGUAAACAGAUAUUACGCUCUACUAGAUCUUAUUGUAUAGUAUUUCGGAACUUUGUGACUGAAGAAAUAGGAAAGAAUAUGGGCUUGAAGCAACAGUGCUAGCACACAUGGCAUCAGUUUCGUUUCUUUGUUUUUUUAGGCCUUUUUUUAAUCGCAUUCAUCUUAAACCUCCCCCUUUGUGGGCUAUUUAGACAACUUCUUAGGUUCUUGUAGAUUUGAAUGUUCUAGACCAGAAAUUCUCAUCUUCUUUAUCACUCCUUGAUAAAUACAGAGCUUAUUUCUUCAAAAAAAAAAAAAAAAAAAAAACAGCACCACCCCUGUCCUCAGGUUGUGUGUGGAAUUGCAACUUGGUUACAUUCACCUCAAUGGAACUGAGCUACAAUGCCAUAGACAACCUGAGGACAGGGGUGGUGCUGUUUUUUGUUUUUUUUAAGAAAGUAGCUCUGUGUUUCUAUCCCUGGAUAACCAGGACUCGAGUCCUGCAGUAACACAUGGGAAUGGAGUUCCUGCACUUUUUCCACAGCAGAAACACUGUUCCCAUUAGCAGGAGUCCUGUAGGACCAGCCCUUGAGUGGAAAUCUCGGGUUUGUUCCCACACUUGUUUCCCAGGACUGGAACCCUGUGGAUAACCCCUUUAACAUUAGUUGCAGCUUUAGUUGGCGAUGGCCAGGAAUCCCACAGCAAAAACAUAGAAAAAACGUGUAGUGGAAAUCAAUAUCUUCAGUUUUACCACAACCUGUCAAAUUCAUACUCUGUAGGCUGGGGAUAUAGACGCAUCAGUUAUCUGUUUGGAAGUCAUGUUGGCAGAUAGAAUACUAUUGUUGCUGAUAGCCUUAGGACCCAUUCACGCCAUGUAUUUUCCAAGCAGAAUUCCACUCUGAAAUUCCUCUUGCAUAAAAUCCGAUGCAGCAGCCUCCCAUUGUUUACAGUUGGUUUCUGCUGCACCAUUCACACAUCUCAAAUUCCAGAUCCCAGACUCCAAUGAAAGAAAGAAAGAACAUGUAAAUGUUUUCAUCAGAAUCUGCUUGGAAAUUCAUUGCUAUCUAUGGAGACUGCACAUUUCCAAGCGGUCCAAGUGCGGCUUGUUCUACAGAGCUUUCUGCCUACAGAGUAUUCACUUAAAGAUUGUCCGGGCAAAAACUAAAUUUUCUCCCUGCUAUACUCACCUUCUUCAGUCUCCUGCGCAGACGCCCCCAGUCCUCUAUUGGUCUCCACUUCUUCCCGGGUGUGUGCUUCCUGUGUACUCUAAAGAGGGACACCACUGCAGCUUCUGAUUGCCUGAGUGGGAAAGUCCUGUGAGGUCGGGAGAGAGCAGCACCCAGAAUGGAAUCUUUACACAACUGACACCGCCGUGUCCCACCCAUUCUGGGUCUGUUUGGCUUUUUUUUGCUUUUGGCUGAACGGAAGCAGAAUCGGUCGGAGCACAGCUGACACCACAGGGUCCCGACAGAUCCCAUUGAUUUGAAUGUGACAUUGUUUCGAUGGACUGGCUCAUGGAGCUAUAUUUACCAGAGCACAAUGGCAAUGUGAACGAGCCCUAAAAUAAUUGCGUGAGGUAUUCCAAUUCUACUUUGGGCUGCUGUCACAAUAACAUUUAGGAUCAUGAUGCUCUAAGACAGGGAGUUGCAGUCUUUCAUCUAAUGUAGGAAAAAGGUAGAACAAUAACAAAAACUUGUACAGUUAUUCCCUAUUUGAUCAUGGGGGCUCUGACUGCUGGGACCCAUCCCCCCACAAUCUUGAUAAUAGGGACCAAAGUCUCCCUUCAGAAUGGAGCGGCAAGAAGCACAUGAGCGUCGCCACUCAGUACAUUCUCUAGUACACUGAUCAGCCAUAUUUGUUUCCAUAGAGCAUUAUGGGUGGUCUCAGAAGUUGGACCCCCCGCGAUCAGAUAGGUAUUGCCUAUCCUGUGAGUUGGGACAUCCCCUUUGAAGCUAAUCUGCAAUCAAAUGAAUAAAACCAAGUUGCAAUACCUAAUACAACCAAUGGACAAGAGAGAGAUACUUUUUCUUUUAAUCUCAUACAACCUUUUUAAUAUACAGGACUUAAGUCAUUUAGAAGAUGCUACUACUGAAAAGACUUUUCUCUGUACCUCGCCGUGUAUAGUCGCCCUAACAUUUUCUCCUUAGUCUCCACCUGUGCUAUCGCCAUAACUGUGCUGCAGUAUCCUGAGCCUACAUGUAAUAUCUGCCAAGGAAACAGGACACUGUCUAGUCGAAAGCGCAAAGUACUAGUUCAUGCAUUCAUUGGGAAGCUUUUUUAUUGCACAUAUAUGGUACAAUUGUACAGGUUUACUGGGUAAGGCUAGGAUGUUGCUAGCACUGCUGCUGCUUGGAGAGGACCUAAGGUUCUCUGCAUUAUUUUCUUGUCGCCCUCCAUGAGGUAGGUCACUUGGGUCACUGCCUGUAAUAGGGUGAUAGUACUCGGGCACUACUAGUUUAAGCACUAGAGAUAAGCACUAGCUUUAGCACUAGACCAUUUCACCUUGUCUGCAUGUCCAUAGAACCUCGAACAUGGCAAAUCGAUUUGCCCAAGGCAUCCUAUUGGCCAACCAAAUUCCCUCCUCAUGGCCACCUACCCAUCAUGUGUUUUGUCUUCAGUGCAAUCCCAUGAAGCCUUGUGCUCCAUUGGGAUUUCAAUGGUUUUUAAAGAGUGAAUGGGGUAAAGGAAAACUUUUACCCUUUUCUAUUUUUUGUCAUCCCCAUUGCUUUUCAUCAUAAAGAGUAGAAACUAGUGGCCACAGCUAGGUUGUGUAUAUAUGGACUAACUGGGGACUAGCCAAGGGCAAUUAUUCGAUAAUCGGGCUAGUGUGCUACUGGGUUGAGGCAUGUUACAAUGGAAAAUGCCCACAUGGACCACAUGGGUAAAUAAUAUACAGUUCCAUUUCUUAUUAUUUUUAUUGUUUUAUAAACUCAGGUGUAAUUAUAUAUUGUUAUAAUGGUUUUAAAUCUUGAAUAUAUGACUAAGUCUAUGAAUUUGUUGAGUUGGUGGAUGGGUUAGGGUUGAGCUAUAAUUCAUCGAUGAAUAUUUAAUUUAUAAAACCAUGAAGAAGACUUGUUUCUUUGGAUUAAGGCUAAUCAAAAAAACAUCUAUUAAAUUGUAUCAUCUCAGUAAGAGGGAGAAAAGGGGUUAUAGAUGGACUCCCCCCUCUAUCAGCUUAGAGCUAUAUGGCUGUCUGCUCUGUAGGCCUGUUGACAUUCACCGAAACCAAUGGAUGUCCUUUGGGCAUUUCAAUGGAUGCCAUCUAAUGCUGCAGGGGGAUUAAUGGCAGUUUUCCCCAGUAGCCUAUCAAUAGCCUAUCUUAAUAGGGGUUGUUGAAACUGGACACCCCCUUUUUUUUAAAUAAAAAUAGAGAUAUCAAUGUGUCACUACUGGCUCUGUAUUCUUUGUAGGGCGUUCAGUGCAGGGCUUCCAGGCCACCAGCUAAUAAUGAUGCCAAGUGCCCCUUCCAUAGUAGAGCUCCAUAUACUGGCAUGGUGCACUAGUAUUGUAUAUAUUACAGGCCUUUAUACCACAGCGGUUAACACUCCUGGAAUUGAGAUCAAAUAUUAUGUCAUUCCAAAUGCCACAGAAAUGUAUUCCCUACAGAUAGCAUAUGCUCAUUGGAUGUGCUGGUCUUAUAGGAGCACUCUGACUCGCAUAUAUAAUUUAUUGCUAUAGGCUUCGUGUAUUCUACAGGACUAGCCUAACAUUUUGUAUAGGUGGAUGCUACAUUAAAUCCAUACAAGUUAUGUCAUCCUCCUAUCAGGUUUACAUAAGCGGUUUUACUAUUAGAUUUUGCCAAAUUUUUUGUUUUAAAUGAGGCCAUUAUGAAUAUAUAAAUGAUACAUACAAUUCCUUUAAUUCGGCAUUCAUACAACCUGCCAUUUUAUCAAAAGUUCCAGAUUAGAAGGAAGAUAAUAUUUAUUUUCAGUCUAGAAUUUACAGAAAGAUCGUUGCAAAUAGGGGCAAAGGCCAGGUCCUGCCAAUUUGACCUGUAGACUGCACUAUAAUGGCCCAUGCGUAAAGCUGUAGUAAAGAUGUAUAUUGUACUGAUCUGUGCCCUUAGUCAGUCAUCCAUGUGUCAUUGGAUGGCAUGUUAUAGAGCUAUCUCUACCCCCAAAAGUUAAGGGUGAUUGUUGGCUCAUGUAGGCACCAAAUGGCAGAAGACGAUCGUUCCAUUGGGAUUGUAGGGAAGCGGAAUCUGUAUUCCGCCAUACAGGCUUAUGUUGAAGCUAAUGACUAAUAUCUUACGAGGUCUAGAAAAGAUAUUAAUUCGGUGGAGUUCAUAUCUGGACACUCACUAUUAGGCUGGGUUCACAUUACGUUUUUCCCCAUACGGGAGCGCAUACGGCGGGGGAGCUAAAAACUUGCACUGCUGUAUGCGGUCCCGUAUGUAAUU